CCUACGGGUGGCAGCAGUGAGGAAUAUUGGUCAAUGGACGCAAGUCUGAACCAGCCAUGCCGCGUGAAGGAAGACGGCUCUAUGAGUUGUAAACUGCUUUUGUAUGGGGGUAAAUCCCUAUACGUGUAUCGGUUUGAAAGUAUCGUACGAAUAAGGAUCGGCUAACUCCGUGCCAGCAGCCGCGGUAAUACGGAGGAUUCAAGCGUUAUCCGGAUUUAUUGGGUUUAAAGGGUGCGUAGGCGGUUCGUUAAGUUAGUGGUGAAAUCCCGGGGCUCAACUCCAGCAAUGCAGUUGAUACUGGCGGGCGAGAGUAUAGUUGCGGUAGGCGGAAUGUGUGGUGUAGCGGUGAAAUGCAUAGAGAUCAUACAGAACACCGAUUGCGAAGGCAGCUUACCAAACUACGACUGACGUUGAGGCACGAAAGCGUGGGUAGCAAACAGGAUUAGAUACCCUUGUAGUC
rnacentral:rRNA from 1 species